GGCCUCAUCGGGACCUUCAUCGUGGAGCUGGUAAGAACAUCUAUGUCAACCGUUCAAUCGUGAAAGCACUGUCAUAAUUGAAAUUUGCUUCUUUGUAUAUAUGCAUGCGUGAUGACAGAUGUGUUUUGGGGCUCUGUUUUUUAUUUCAGAUAUUGAACAAAGGCGUUCUUGAGAUAAUCGGUUUUGAAGUGGGAAAAGGCCUCGAUAUUCCAUUGUAGUCUGAUCUCCCCUCCCUGCCCUAUGAGAUGCUGAUGCUCGGGACAUAAGAGCCACAUGAAAAUUAAGGUUGUAGCCACCAAUAGCUAUGCUCUGCAUCAUAGUAAAUAUAUAAACAAGCUCUAAGCAUUCCGUUGCACUUGCUAUUUUUCAUUUUACACUCGUCUUACCAAAGUCAUCGACAGAGUGAUCUUCAACACUCGACAAUAUUCUGCUGAGCUGGGUGAUAGUUCGUACCGAUAAUACGAAAACUUGUUUGUUGUUUUGAAAAGAAAACUGAAGUUGUCCAUGUUUUGAAAAGUAUGCCGACUUCUCAAUCAUAAUGAUGUGGUUCUGAUGCCAUGAUAUUCUGAACUAGUGUUUCUACAU
rnacentral:lncRNA from 1 species